AGCAGCCGCGGUAAUUCCAGCUCCAAUAGCGUAUAUUAAAGUUGUUGCAGUUAAAAAGCUCGUAGUUGAAUUUCGGGAUCAAUAUGUCGGUCGUGCCUCGGUACGUACUGGCGUCAUUGGUUUCUCCCUUCUGAAGAACCUUGAUGUCAUUAAUUUGGUGUCUUGGGGAAUCAGGACUGUUACUUUGAAAAAAUUAGAGUGUUUAAAGCAGGCUCGCGCUUGAAUACAUUAGCAUGGAAUAAUGAAAUAGGACGUUUGAUUCUAUUUUGUUGGUUUCUAGGAUCGACGUAAUGAUUAAUAGGGAUAGUUGGGGGCAUUAGUAUUCAAUUGUCAGAGGUGAAAUUCUUGGAUUUAUUGAAGACUAACUACUGCGAAAGCAUUUGCCAAGGAUGUUUUCAUUAAUCAAGAACGAAAGUUAGGGGAUCGAAGACGAUCAGAUACCGUCGUAGUCUUAACCAUAAACUAUGCCGACUAGGGAUCGGAUGAUGUUGAUUUUUUUAAUGACUCAUUCGGCCG
rnacentral:rRNA from 1 species